CAUAUUUUGUUAAUAUUCCGAUUCACUUAAGUGGCAUUAAAAUGUAAAUUAUUAAAUUGUAGAAAUUUUAGAAAAAAAAAAAUAUUGAAAACCUGUGCGCAAUGUGCAAAGCAGUAAUUUACGUGUCUAUUACAAAGGUUUCAUUAUAGAUUGCUCCUAUCAAAACUUUUAAAUGUUACAUACAUUGAGAAGAGGAUUAAGUAACUAUUUAUCGUCUCUACGUGAGUGAAUUUUUCAGGGAAACUUUGGAUAUGCUUUUUUAUAGAUUGAAUUUUAACUCUAUUUAUAUGAGCUGCAUUAUCUAUGUAUUGAUAAGUAAUGUAUUGGUAUUAUAUUUUGGAACUGGUGAUAUUAAAGCAGUAUAUGAUGACAUGGUAAAUCUACGGAGCCGCAGCCUCAUUUGUCAUUCAUCACGCUAAUGUAAAUGGAAACCUAUAUACAAAUGUAACUCCAAUCCAACCUGUAGAAGGGCUUACAAAGGUAAAAUGCCAUACUGUUUGGCGAAAUGAAUGUACUGGUUAAAAAAUGCGUGUCCUUGUGUAAAGCAAAACGCACAUUCAAAUAGUGGUGCGGUGGUUGGUAGGCACUAAUGUAAACUGUUUGUGGCUAGACACAAAAAAUAGACCAUGACUAUUUCCAUUGUUUUGCAUUGCCACCCGUACACUUGAAUAGGUAGGGUUACUAUUUUUUAUUUAAAAUAAUCUGACAAAACAAUACAUAUAAGAUAAAAAAAAAUAGGUGUUGACUGUUUUAGUUGUAAAAAUAUUCUUUAAAUAUAGUUCUACUAUUUGUAACAGUUUAAUAAAGUUUGAUGUACAACUUAA